UAGGGAAUCUUCGGCAAUGGGGGGAACCCUGACCGAGCAACGCCGCGUGAGUGAAGAAGGUUUUCGGAUCGUAAAGCUCUGUUGUUAAGGAAGAACGAGUGUGAGAAUGGAAAGUUCAUACUGUGACGGUACUUAACCAGAAAGGGACGGCUAACUACGUGCCAGCAGCCGCGGUAAUACGUAGGUCCCGAGCGUUGUCCGGAUUUAUUGGGCGUAAAGCGAGCGCAGGCGGUUAGAUAAGUCUGAAGUUAAAGGCAGUGGCUCAACCAUUGUAGGCUUUGGAAACUGUUUAACUUGAGUGCAGAAGGGGAGAGUGGAAUUCCAUGUGUAGCGGUGAAAUGCGUAGAUAUAUGGAGGAACACCGGUGGCGAGAGCGGCUCUCUGGUCUGUAACUGACGCUGAGGCUCGAAAGCGUGGGGAGCGAACAGG
rnacentral:rRNA from 1 species